AAAAAACAUUUCCUGCCAUGUUUUUAAAAAAAAACUUAUGAACCCUAGCCUCCUCUGCUAGGGUUCCCAUAUUCAGCCCCCCACCGCCGCCGUUCGCGUAUUUUUCCCAACCGCACGCCACCGCCGAUUGAAAGGUUUGGUGGCGUAGAAAGCGUAUGCACGUGGAGGCGCAAAUCGCGCAGAGGGAGGCUUCUGGCCCCGAGUCGUGCGGUGGUUGGGGUUGCGCUGAAGGUUCUAGGGUUUUUUAGAGUUGGGCUGGUUUGGUUAUUGUUUGGGUAAUUAGGCUUGAGUUUUAAUUUUGUUGGGCCUAUAUUGGUUUAGGCCCGGGCAAUUUGGGCUUGUACAUAUAUCAUAAAUCAAACAUUAAAUUUUCUAAUCAAA